rnacentral:misc_RNA from 1 species
AAAGUUUAGAGGUAUGGGGAUCCGGCCGGAAGGUUUGGCCCCCUUGUCAUCUCAAACCACUCUGUGAACCCACCUUUUUUUUUAUUUUUUUUUAAAAAACUAUUUUUCAAUGAAAUGUCUCUGUCUGAAACUGGUUUUUAACAAAACAAGUUA